UCUAGCAAAGAGCUUCUUCUUCAGGCAAUUUAUAACCUGGUUCUGGGAAGUUAUUCAGCUAUCUCAAAUCCAUCACAUUUGUCAAUGCUGAGUGGUUUUAUGAAUCUGAAGCGUACUGACUGACUGGAAGACAGAAGAAAGUGAAAAGGACACCAAGCCUCUAACAGGGGCUGCAGAACUACCAGCUAGUGACACCAAGCUGCACGUAUUGUAACAGAUAAGGCCAAGAUUCAGCAAGCCACUAUAAUUUGCCAGCACUUGAUAUCAAUGGAGACAGAAGCAACUGCUUGAAUAAGACAUCAGAAAACUCAUAAUGAGACAUGCGCACAAAU